GGGCGGCUAGCUCAGUUGGUUAGAGCGUUGCUUUCACACGGCAGAGGUCACUGGUUCGACUCCAGCGCCGCCCA
rnacentral:tRNA from 1 species